rnacentral:rRNA from 1 species
CGUGAAAUUGUUGAAAGGGAAGCGCUUGCAACCAGACUUGCACUUGGUCGAUCAUCCGGGGUUCUCCCCGGUGCACUCGAUCUCGUUCAGGCCAGCAUCGGUUUAGGUGGUGGGAUAAAGG